GAGUUUGAACCUGGCUCAGGAUAAACGCUGGCGGCGCACAUAAGACAUGCAAGUCGAACGGACUUAAUCUUAAUAUUUAUAUUGAGAAGCGGUUAGUGGCGGACUGGUGAGUAACGCGUAAGCAAUCUGCCUAUUAGAGGGGAAUAACAGUGAGAAAUCAUUGCUAAUACCGCAUAUGCCAUAAGAAUCACAUGGUUCUAGUGGGAAAGGAGUAAUCCGCUAAUAGAUGAGCUUGCGUCUGAUUAGCUAGUUGGUGUGGUAAUGGCACACCAAGGCAACGAUCAGUAGCCGGACUGAGAGGUUGAACGGCCACAUUGGGACUGAGAUACGGCCCAGACUCCUACGGGAGGCAGCAGUCGGGAAUAUUGCGCAAUGGAGGAAACUCUGACGCAGUGACGCCGCGUAUAGGAAGAAGGUUUUCGGAUUGUAAACUAUUGUCGUUAGGGAAGAUAAAAGACAGUACCUAAGGAGGAAGCUCCGGCUAACUACGUGCCAGCAGCCGCGGUAAUACGUAGGGAGCAAGCGUUAUCCGGAUUUAUUGGGUGUAAAGGGUGCGUAGACGGGAAAUUAAGUUAGUUGUGAAAUCCCUCGGCUCAACUGAGGAACUGCAACUAAAACUGAUUUUCUUGAGUGCAGGAGAGGUAAGUGGAAUUCCUAGUGUAGCGGUGAAAUGCGUAGAUAUUAGGAGGAACACCAGUGGCGAAGGCGACUUACUGGACUGUAACUGACGUUGAGGCACG
rnacentral:rRNA from 1 species